UAGGGAAUAUUGGUCAAUGGGCGAAAGCCUGAACCAGCAACGCCGCGUGUGUGAUGAAGGCCUUCGGGUCGUAAAGCACUUUUCUGGGAGAUGAGAAAGGACAGUAUCCCAGGAAUAAGUCUCGGCUAACUACGUGCCAGCAGCCGCGGUAAAACGUAGGAGGCGAGCGUUAUCCGGAUUCACUGGGCGUAAAGCGCGUGCAGGUGGCGUGGUAAGUUGGGCGUGAAAUCUCCCGGCUCAACUGGGAGAGGUCGUCCAAUACUACCGUGCUUGAGAGCAGAAGAGGAAGAUGGAAUUCCCGGUGUAGUGGUGAAAUGCGUAGAUAUCGGGAGGAACACCAGUGGCGAAGGCGAUCUUCUGGUCUGUUUCUGACACUCAGACGCGACAGCUAGGGUAGUAAACGGGAUUAGAGACCCCGGUAAUCCUAGCCGUAAACGAUGUGAACUUGGCGUUGGUGGGUUAAACUCCAUCAGUGCCGUAGCAAACGCGAUAAG
rnacentral:rRNA from 1 species